GUGGCCGGAGCCGCUGCUGUAUCAGUGAUUAUUGCAGAGAGACGCGGCCACACACAGUAACUUGGUUCCCGCCGACAGACCCCAUAAAGCCAUUGGGUGUUCUGUGCAAAGGUGUCAGACACA